rnacentral:rRNA from 1 species
UUGGCGGGGUAAUGGCCCACCAAGGCGACGAUCAGUAGCUGGUUUGAGAGGAUGAUCAGCCACAAUGGGACUGAGACACGGCCCAUACUCCUACGGGAGGCAGCAGUAGGGAAUUUUGCGCAAUGGGGGAAACCCUGACGCAGCAACGCCGCGUGAACGAGACGCCCUUCGGGGUGUAAAGUUUUGUCAGUGGGGACGAACGAAUGACGGUACCCACAGAGGAAGCACCGGCUAACUCCGUGCCAGCAGCCGCGGUAAUACGGAGGGUGCAAGCGUUGUCCGGAAUCAUUGGGCGUAAAGAGUUCGUAGGCGGCAUGUAAAGUCAGGUGUUAAAGGCUGAGGCUCAACCUCAGUAUGGCACUUGAUACUUGCAAGCUAGAAUGCGGUAGAGGUAAAGGGAAUUCCUGGUGUAGCGGUGAAAUGCUUAGAUAUCAGGAGGAACAUCGGUGGCGUAAGCGCUUUACUGGGCCGUAAUUGACGCUGAGGAACGAAAGCCAGGGUAGCAAAUGGGAUUAGAUACCCCAGUAGUCCUGGCCGUAAACGAUGGAUACUAGGUGUUGCGGGUAUCGACCCCUGCAGUGCCGUAGCAAACGCGUUAAGUAUCCCGCCUGGGGAGUACGCACGCAAGUGUGAAACUCAAAGGAAUUGACGGGGACCCGCACAAGCGGUGGAACAUGUGGUUUAAUUCGAAGCAACGCGAAGAACCUUACCAGGGCUUGACAUCUGACGAACAUUCUUGAAAGAGAGUGGUGCUCUUCGGAGAGCGUCAAGACAGGUGGUGCACGGUUGUCGUCAGCUCGUGUCGUGAGAUGUUGGGUUAAGUCCCGCAACGAGCGCAACCCUCGUCGUUAGUUGGUGAUAUUGGUACACUGAUAUCGACCUCUCUAGCGAGACUGCCGGUGAUAAACCGGAGGAAGGUGGGGACGACGUCAAAUCAUCAUGCCCCUUAUGCUCUGGGCUACACACGUGUUACAAUGGUUAGGACAGCGAGCAGCGAACCUGCGAGGGUAAGCAAAUCUCUAAAACCUAGCCUCAGUUCGGAUUGCACUCUGCAACUCGAGUGCAUGAAGUCGGAAUCGCUAGUAAACGCAGAUCAGCACGCUGCGUUGAAUACGUUCCCGGGUCUUGUACACACCGCCCGUCACACCAUGGAAGUCGACCACGCCCGAAGUACGUGAGCUAACCGUAAGGGAGCAGCGUCCUAAGGCAGGGUUGGUGACUGGGGUGAAGUCGUAACAAGGUAGCCGUACCGGAAGGUGUGGCUG